AGUGAACGCUGGCGGUAGGCCUAACACAUGCAAGUCGAACGGCAGCACAGUAAGAGCUUGCUCUUACGGGUGGCGAGUGGCGGACGAGUGAGGAAUACAUCGGAAUCUACUUUUUCGUGGGGGAUAACGUAGGGAAACUUACGCUAAUACCGCAUACGACCUACGGGUGAAAGCAGGGGAUCUUCGGACCUUGCGCGAUUGAAUGAGCCGAUGUCGGAUUAGCUAGUUGGCGGGGUAAAGGCCCACCAAGGCGACGAUCCGUAGCUGGUCUGAGAGGAUGAUCAGCCACACUGGAACUGAGACACGGUCCAGGCUCCUAUGGGAGGCAGCAGUGGGGAAUAUUGGACAAUGGGCGCAAGCCUGAUCCAGCCAUACCGCGUGGGUGAAGAAGGCCUUCGGGUUGUAAAGCCCUUUUGUUGGGAAAGAAAAGCAGCAGGUUAAUACCCCGCUGUUCUGACGGUACCCAAAGAAUAAGCACCGGCUAACUUCGUG
rnacentral:rRNA from 1 species